rnacentral:ribozyme from 1 species
UGCCCAGCCACUCCUAUCCCUACCUACUCACGGUAUUGGACGAGGUACGAGUAACCUUAGGGAAGCUCGGGUAACCAACCGGUAGGAACUUUGGCCGUAUGCUGACAGGGAAGG